rnacentral:lncRNA from 1 species
AUGCAUGCGUGCGCGUGCACACACACACACACAGCAGGAUCCCAGGGUUUGUGGCAUCCUACACACAUACACACACACACACACACACAGCAAGACCCCCGGGUUUGUGGCAUCCUACACACACACACACACACACACACACACACACACACACAGAAGGACCCGGGGUUUGUGUGUCAUCCUGCACACACACACACAUACACACGGACCCUGGGAUUCGUGUGUGGCAUCCUACACAUGUACACACAGAAGGACCCCGGGUUUGUGUGUGGCAUCCUACACACACACACACACACACACACACACACAAACAGGACCCCAGGGUUUGUGUGUGACAUCCUACAUACACACACACAACAGGACCCCCGGGUUUGUGUGUGGCAUCCUACACACACACACACACACACAGAAGGACCCCGGGGUUUGUGUGGCAUCCUACACACACACACACACACACACACGGACCCUGGGGUUUGUGUGUGGCAUCCUACACACGUACACACAGAAGGACCCUGGGUUUGUGUGUGGCAUCCUACACACACAGACACACACACAGCAGGACCCCAGGGUUUGUGUGUGGCAUCCUACACACACACACACACGCACGCGUGCGUGCGCACACACACACAGCAGGAUCCCAGGGUUUGUGGCAUCCUACACACAUACACAGCAAGACCCCCGGGUUUGUGGCAUCCUACACACACACACACACACACACACACACACACAGAAGGACCCCGGGGUUUGUGUGGCAUCCUACACACACACACACACACACACACACACACACACACACAAGGACCCCUGGGUUUGUGUGUGACAUCCUACACACACACACACACACACACACACACACACACACAGCAGGACCCCCGGGUUUGUGUGUGGCAUCCUACACACACACACACACACACACACACACACACACACACACACAGAAGGACCCCCGGGUUUGUGUGUGGCAUCCUUCACACACACACACCCCUUGCUUAUGUCCUCCACCCGUCCCUGAAAACAUGA